rnacentral:misc_RNA from 1 species
UCUCCGUAGGUGAACCUGCGGAGGGAUCAUUACAGAGUUCAUGCCCUACCGGGUAGAUCUCCCACCCUAUGUUAUUAUUACUUUGUUGCUUUGGCGGGCCGUUAGGCUCCGGCCCGACUACCGGCCCCGGCUGGUAAGCGCCCGCCAGAGGACCCAAAACCCUGAAUAUUAGUGUCGUCUGAGUACUAUAUAAUAGUUAAAACUUACAACAACGGAUCUCUUGGUUCUG